CUACGGGUGGCUGCAGUAAGGAAUAUUGCGCAAUGGAGGCAACUCUGACGCAGCCAUGCCGCGUGCAGGAAGAAGGCCUUAUGGGUCGUAAACUGCUUUUAUUUAGGAAUAAACCCCCGAACGUGUUCGGGGCUGAAGGUACUAAACGAAUAAGCACCGGCUAACUCCGUGCCAGCAGCCGCGGUAAUACGGAGGGUGCAAGCGUGUAUCCGGAUUUAUUGGGUUUAAAGGGUGCGCAGGCGGGCUAUUAAGUCAGUGGUGAAAUCCCGGGGCUCAACUCCGGAACUGCCAUUGAUACUGUAGUCUAGAGUUUGGUUGAAGUGGGCGGAAUGUAGCAUGUAGCGGUGAAAUGCAUAGAUAUGCUACAGAACACCAAUCGCGAAGGCAGCUCACUAAGCCAAAACUGACGCUCAUGCACGAAAGCGUGGGGAUCAAACAGGAUUAGAUACCCUCGUAGUC
rnacentral:rRNA from 1 species